GUGCAGUCGAGUGCGCGUGCCGUAGCAAUACGGCAUGGCGCACGGCGCACGGGUGCGUAACACGUGGGCAAUCUGCCCUCCGAUGGGGAAUAACUCCGGGAAACCGAAGCUAAUUCCGCAUAACAUUCCUUGGACUCCGGUCCGGGGAUUCAAAGCAGCAAUGCGUCGGAGGAGGAGCCCGCGCCCGAUUAGCUAGUUGGUGAGGUAACGGCUCACCAAGGCAAUGAUCGGUAGCUGGUCUGAGAGGAUGGCCAGCCACACUGGAACUGAGACACGGUCCAGACUCCUACGGGAGGCAGCAGUGGGGAAUCUUGCGCAAUGGGCGAAAGCCUGACGCAGCGACGCCGCGUGGGGGAUGAAGCUUCUCGGAGUGUAAACCCCUUUCGACCGGGACGAAUGCCCGCAAGGGAGUGACGGUACCGGUAGAAGAAGCCCCGGCUAACUACGUGCCAGCAGCCGCGGUAAGACGUAGGGGGCCAGCGUUGUUCGGAAUUACUGGGUGUAAAGGGUUCGUAGGCGGUGUGGCAAGUCGGGAGUGAAAUUUCUGGGCUUAACUCAGAAGCUGCUUCCGAAACUGCUGUGCUGGAGUGUGGGAGAGGCGCGUGGAAUUGCAGGUGUAGCGGUGAAAUGCGUAGAUAUCUGCAGGAACACCCGUGGCGAAAGCGGCGCGCUGGACCACUACUGACGCUGAGGAACGAAAGCUAGGGGAGCAAACAGGAUUAGAUACCCUGUAGUCCUAGCCCUAAACGAUCAGGACUUGGGGUGCCACCCGUUCGGGUGUCGUCCCGGAGCUAACGCGUUAAGUCCUGCACCUGGGGAGUAC
rnacentral:rRNA from 1 species